UUCGGCGGUUAUGGCGGGGAGGAAACACCCGUUCCCAUUCCGAACACGGAAGUUAAGCUCCUCAGCGCCGAUGGUACUGCUCGGGUAGCUGAGUGGGAGAGUAGGUCGCCGCCGAAU
rnacentral:rRNA from 1 species